GGAGCGAACGCGGCUCAGGGAAGUCGGCAAGCCGGCUCCGUAACCUCGGGAAAAGGAGUGGCUCUGACGGCGCGCCGGGUCAGAACUGGAACGGACGCGGGGAUCCCGACUGUUUACUAGAAACACAGCGUCGCGAGGGCCGCACCCGGCGCUGGCGCGACGUGAUUUCUGCCCAGUGCCACGACCGUCACCGUGAAGCGAUCCGCCGAAGCCCUGGUAAACGGCGGGAGUAACUAUGACUCUCUUAAGGUAGCCAAAUGCCUCGUCGGGCAAUUUCCGACGUGCAUGAAUGGACCAACGAGGAUCCCACUGUCCCGAGCCGCGCCUCCGCGAGCCUCCAGCCUCGGGAACGGGCGAGG
rfam:Giardia lamblia ATCC 50803 SC_571 genomic scaffold, whole genome shotgun sequence.